UAAUUUUUUGUGUUUUUUUAUUUUGUUAUAUAUGUUUUUGAUGUUUUUUUAUUAUGUUUCGUGUGUGGUUCAUGUCCUACUUAUUGUGAUAUGGAUUUUGAAUGAGUUUUUUCGUGUAUCUAUUUAUUGUAUUUGUUAUAUUGUAUUUAAUAUUCUAGUUUAUUUUGUUUUUUUGUUGAGAGAUAAUUUUACAUUUAAGGCACCCUUUUGAAUAUGUAUUGAUAUUUGAGUGAAUUUUUGUUAUGUUCAACUCACAAAUCAUGUAAGCUGUAGAUGAAGGUAAAAGGUGGGAGAUUCAGCUUCUUGAAAUUGGAUUAAUAUUGAUAUUUACAAGCAUGAAGAAAUUUCAGUAGCAAAUGUAUUGUUUAAAUUAGAAAUUGUUGUUUGAAUAAUAUUGUACUAUAAUGCGAUAUAAGUUUGAACAAAAUUUUGAAAAUAUUUUGCAGGUUUUAUUGAUUCUUAGCAAGCUUGCUAAAUUUAGAAGUUUUUAAUUCUCUUGGAAGGUACUAUUUAUUUAUCGGUAAAUUUUCUUUUUUAUUCUUAUUUCUUUCUAACUUAAAUUUUUGUUUGAGAACACAUGUUUGACAAAAGUAGCAGCCUUUCUUGAAGGGAAAAGGGAGGUAGUAAGAAUGUAGUGAGAUUUGGAUUUUGUGAUAGAUUUUGGUAGAAAAAGAACCGUAAGUAGGUAUAGGCGUAGAAGAGAGCUAGUUUUAUAG
rnacentral:lncRNA from 1 species